ACUUUACAAUGCGGGAAACCGUGAUAAGGGAACCCCGAGUGCCCGUAAAUUCGGGCUGUCCAUCAGCGUAAAUAACUGGUGAAGAAAGGGCCGGGCAAGACCGGUGCCAGCCGCCGCGGUAAUACCGGCGGCUCGAGUGGUGGCCACUACUAUUGGGCUUAAAGCGUCCGUAGCUUGGUUGUUAAGUCUCUUGGGAAAUCUACCGGCUCAACCGGUAGGCGUUCAGGAGAUACUGGCAAUCUAGGGACCGGGAGAGGUGAGAGGUACUCCAGGGGUAGGAGUGAAAUCCUGUAAUCCUUGGGGGACCACCUGUGGCGAAGGCGUCUCACUAGAACGGCUCCGACAGUGAGGGACGAAAGCUGGGGGAGCAAACCGG
rnacentral:rRNA from 1 species